ACGACAUGAUUGAGGCAUUUUCUGAUGAGGUCCUUUAAUCUUUCCCAAGACUCAUGGAACUGCUCACCAUCUUGUUGUAAGAAGCUAGUGAGAGCUCGUCUUAUCUGUUUGU
rnacentral:snoRNA from 1 species